rnacentral:lncRNA from 1 species
ACAGCUACAGUGUACUCAUAUACAUAAAAUAAAUAAAUAAAUCUUAAAAAAAAAAAACCUUCCAGGACAGCCAGGGCUACACAGAGAAACCCUGUCUCAAAAAAAAAACAAAAAAAAAAAAAAAAAAAAAAAAAAUUCCCCAGUUGUAGAUCGUGGUGGUACACACCUUUAAUCCCAGACUCAGUAGGCAGGGAUAGGUGAAUCUUUGUUCCAGGACUACAUUUUGAGACCGUGAAAUCCUGCUUCAAAACAAAACAAAAAAAUCCCCAGUAGGUAAUUAUCAAAACCAAAAGUUUCAGCAAAGAACUGUAAAAAGAACCAACCCGCAAGAUUGGAGCAAAAUAGCAAUUUAAACCUCAGAAGUUGGGCAUCCUCCAUUGUUACUGUUGGUAGCAAGAUCUCUAGCCCAUCAGCCUAGGCUGACUGGAACUCACAGUGUAGCGUUGGCUCCGGAGCUCUCCUCCUACCCCAGUCUCACAUCUUGCAAGAGUUUUGUUCUCUCUCCAUCAAGUAGGUCCCAGGGACCAAACUCGGGCCGCCAGGCUUUGUCAGCAGGCACUUGACCUGCUUGACCAUCUUGCCAGGACUAAAAUCUGGGUUUUUAUAAAAUGAGCAAAAUGAACCCAAUACAAAAUUUUCACAUUCUGUAUUGUUGCUGUAUCCGUGAAUUGGGUAGUCCACUCUUAAGUAACUGGUGUGGCCAUGGGCAAGGGUACUGGUGCUGGAUCUUAAUCGUGAUUCCAUCGGUCACAAAGUAUUCACUUCUCUGGAGGGGUGAGAACUUUCCCAUCUAAAUUGCUCAUGGAGCAGAGGACACUUAGAUUUUCUUUGACAAAACAUCUAACAAUAAGCAAUUUGAAGAAAAGUUGAUAUCUCUUGUGUAUCUAAAUGAUAUUUACUGGUGACAUGUCAAUGGAAAUGGACCUUAAAAUGACCUUUUACCUGCAGUUUGACAAAAUGGCAUUUCACCCUGUUUCUAUUUUAUUUAGGGAUGAUUUUUUUUUUUUAACAUAUAUGAGUAUUUUACCUGCAUAUAUGCCUGUGUAGCACAUGCAUGCAGUGCCCUUGAAGGCCAGAAAAGGGUAUCCUCUGGAACUAAAAGUUACAGAGGGUUGUAAGCCACCAAUCUGCCAUCUGGAAAAGCAGCCAAUGCUCUUAACCACUGAAGCAUCUCUCCAGCCCCGAACAACACAUUAAAAAAGCAGUAUAUCAAACUAGCCAUGGGGACACAAACUUUAACAGCAGCAUUUGGACUGUGGAAGCUGAGAACUCAUGAGUCAGUUCAAGGCCAGCCUGGACCACAGAAGACCUGUCUUACAAAGCAAAUGUGGGCCAUGGUCACAAAGAAUAUAAAAUAGUCUCCCUUAGCUAAUCUUCUGAAGGAGAAAGGAAUGUUUUAUGAAGUUUGUUGCUGAAAUCAGCAUUGUGUACCCCGCCACUCCAGCGUGCUGUUCAUGAGGCUGUGUCUCACUCUGCAGCCCUGGCUGGCCUGAAGCUCACACUUCUGACCUGCCUCGCUCCCCUGAGGUUAGGGUUGAAGUUUAGUGUCAUCACACACAGCAAGAACCUUUAUGGAACAUUCCCUUUUAAAGGAAAUUGUCAUUUAAGAGUAAAAGGAGCACUCUCCCUUUAAAAAGGAAAGUGAAGGAAAACCAUUGCUAACAGUCAUCUACCUAAGAUGUUGAGGGCUGGAGAGAUAGGUAGGUCGGCAGUUUUAAGAGCAAGGACCCAAGUUCAUUUGCCAGCACCUGUGUCAAUGGCUCCCGACACCUCUGCCAGCUCCAAGGAAUCUGAUGCCCUGGCCGCUGUAGGCACCUACUCUGGGGUGUAUCCUCCCCGUCCCAUAGUUGAAAGUAACAAUUGUUUGAAAGAAUUGCUAAAGCUCUAAAUUGCUACAGUUUCCAUGGAAGUAGCAAAUGUCUGCGUAAAUGCAGCUGGUUACUUUUCCCUUUUGUGAUGUUUUGUUUAUUCGGUUUUGAUGUAAAGUGUCACUGUGUAGCCUAGUAGAGCGGUCUGUUAAACUCAGAAUUCUCCUGCUUCAGCCUCUUCAGGACUGGGAUUAAUUAUACUUCCACAUCUGCUCUUCCAGAGUGCUUCAACUUGAUUUGAUUGCU